GCUUGCUCCUGUACCCAACAGAAAACCCCAGGGUCAACAGUUCAACAGAAACGAAGCAUGGAAGGACAGAAACCAAUUUGUUCUCUUACUGCCUCAUUCUCUCAGGGCAGGAAGUGACGUCGCCAGCUUUGGAAGAUGAGUACACCGGAAUUCGGUUCUGGACGUUUCCUUCUUGCGAUGCUUGGGAUUGAACCCAGCGCCUUGAGCAUGCUGACCAAGGGCUUUACUGCUGAAAAGACAUCUCGGGCGAUUCCAGAGGCUUCCUCCUCCUCUCUUCCCCAUCCUCUUCCUCCUCAGUACUGAGGAUCACACCCAGCGUUGUGACGUUCCUAGGGAAGCAUGCUGCCACCAAAUUAUGUUUCUGUCCCUGGAAGGCUCUUCUUUCUUAAGAUUUAUUCUAAUUAUCUUUAAUUACAUGCAUGUGUAUGUGUGUGAAUAUGUGCAAGCGAAUGCGGGUGUCUGUGGAGGUCAGAGACAUAAGAACCCCUGAUGACUAGAGUUACAGGAGGCUGUGAGAGGUCCAUUGUGGGCAUUCGGUGCCAAAUCUGGUUCCUCUGAAUGGGCACCCCACACUCUUAACCACCGAGUCACCUCUCCUGUCUGACGUGACCUUUCUUCUAAUAAAAAUUCACUAUGUCCACGGAAUAUGCUGAGAUUCCAUUAGAACUCUACCUGUGUUUGGCACCAUGGAGGCCAAACUCAGAGGAAGUGAGCAAGAGUUCCCUCCAAGAAGGUACUGAGCUCUGUGCCCAGUAAGGUGGUCAGAAACACCAAGUUUCAGACACUUGUCGUUGACAUCAAGUCGGAACAGGUAGACAGGCAAGAGGGGGCCACCCUGCAAGAUUUAUACCUCUGGUCUUUGGACUCCCAGCACUGACUGUCCUUCCAGAAUGGGCUUCAGGAUGACCUUCAACAUCGUCCCAAAGGGCACCGCAGCUGGGUAUGGGGACAUCCGCCUGUAAUCUCAGAACUCAGAAGACAGAGGAGAGAGGACUGCAAAGUCAAGUGUCACACAGUGAAACGGCACCUUCAAUGCUUUUGUAACUUGUAGGGUCUUAGUUUUGUUUGUUUGUUUGUUUUAAGAUAGGGUUUUUCUGUGUAGCCCCAGCUGUUCCAGAAUUCACUGUGUAGACCGGGCUGGCCUCUAAUUCAACAUCAGCUUACCUUUGCCUCCAGGGUGCUGGGAUUAGGCCCAAUGAGUCUUGAAGUUUUUAAUUAACUCAUUUUUCACUAAAAGGUAAUAAUUGAACACCAUAAAGAAUUAAGGAUUCUUUAUGAAUGAUAGGCCUCCUGUUUACACCAGACCCCUGUCCUAUGAUCCGGAGUCAAACAUGGCUGACAUCUUUUAUACAUCCUUUCAGAAACUGCCCAUGCAUACAGAAUCUUUUGUAUACAUGUCUGUCUGUCUGUCUGUAUAUAUAUAUAUAUAUAUAUAUAUAUAUAUAUAUAUAUAUAUAUAUGUAUGUUUGUAGUGUGUGUGUGUGUGUGUGUGUGAUGGUUUGCAUAUGCUUGACCCAGGGAGUGGCAUUAUUAGGAAAUGUGGCCUUGUUGGAGUAGGUGUGUCAGUAUGAGUGUGCACUUUAAGACCCUCGUCCUAGCUUCCUAGAAGGCAGUCUUCUCCUGUUUGCCUUCAGAACAAGCUGUAGAACUCUCAGCCAUGCCUGCCGGGAUGCUACCAUGUUCCCACCUUGAUGAUAAUUGACUGAGCCUGUAAGCCAGCCCCAAAUAAAUGUUGUCU
rnacentral:lncRNA from 1 species